AACCAGGGCCGCGGGCUGCUCCACUUCCACAGCCCCCGGUACCAAACAAAAGGAGGAAAACCCGCAGCGGCUUGCGGUGCGGCAGUGUGGAGACCUGCCGUAAAGUCCUCGGGGCCGUGCGCCCCGGGACGAGGUGGAGAGGGCGGAGGCCGCUCCAUCAAAGCCGAAGUGUAUGGCA
rfam:Oscillibacter sp. 1-3 genomic scaffold acPPL-supercont1.1, whole genome shotgun sequence.